AAAUAAGAAGCAAAGUUUGCAAUUAGUUUCGACCUAAUCUUAGAUAUUAUAUAUCCUUAUUUU
rnacentral:tRNA from 1 species